GCAUUGGUGGUUCAGUGGUAGAGUUCUCGCCUGCUACGAAGUAGACCUGGGUCCGAUUCCCGGCCAAUGCA
rfam:Danio rerio chromosome 4, GRCz11 reference primary assembly.